rnacentral:rRNA from 1 species
CAGUAGCCGCGGUAAUACGAAGGGUGCAAGCGUUACUCGGAAUUACUGGGCGUAAAGCGUGCGUAGGUGGUGGUUUAAGUCCGUUGUGAAGCCCUGGGCUCAACCUGGGAAUUGCAGUGGAUACUGGGUCACUAGAGUGUGGUAGAGGAUAGUGGAAUUUCCGGUGUAGCAGUGAAAUGCGUAGAUAUGCGGAGGAACACCGAUGGCGAAGGCAAUCCCCUGGACCUGUACUGACGCUCAUGCACGAAAGCGUGGGGAGCAAACAGGAUUAGAUACCCCUGUAGUCCCUGUCUCUUAUACA